rnacentral:tRNA from 1 species
GCAGCCGUAGUUCAGUGGCAGAACCUCAGCCUUCCAAGCUGAUGACGCCGGUUCAAAUCCGGUCGGCUGCUCCA